UACGGAGGGGGCUAGCGUUGUUCGGAAUUACUGGGCGUAAAGCGCGCGUAGGCGGUCUGUUAAGUGAGAAGUGAAAUCUCCAGGGCUCAACCCGGAAACUGCUUUUCAUACUGGCAGACUGGAGUGAUGAAGAGGUUUGUGGAAUUCCUGGUGUAACGGUGAAAUGUGUUGAUAUCAGGAGGAACACCCAUGGCGAAGGCAGCAAACUGGUCAUCAACUGACGCUGAGGCGCGAAAGCGUGGGUAGCAAACAGG
rnacentral:rRNA from 1 species